UACGUAGGUGGCAAGCGUUGUCCGGAUUUACUGGGCGUAAAGAGCGCGCAGGCGGUCGUUUAAGUCGAAUGUGAAAGCCCCCGGCUCAACUGGGGAGGGUCAUUCGAUACUGAUCGACUUGAAGGCAGGAGAGAGAAGUGGAAUUCCCGGUGUAGUGGUGAAAUGCGUAGAUAUCUGGAGGAACACCGGUGGCGAAGGCGGCAUCCUGGACCAACACUGACGCUGAGGAGCGAAAGCCAGGGGAGCAAACGGG
rnacentral:rRNA from 1 species